CUGAGUCUGGCUGCUGUGUGGGCCCCAGCACUACCUGUAGGAAUCACAAAGCCCAGCCCUGAAGUGCUAUUUUUAUUGGGGUAUUAUCAAGCUGCCAACCAGGAAUGAAGACCCAAUAUAGUGGGAACAACACAAUGGGAGAAUAAGACUCUCUUUUCCCCAAGUUCCAUUAGGCAAAUUCUUGGAAUUUCAUUAAUGGAGCUUUAAUGAGCAGAAGACAUCUUGUCAAGGCUGAUCUGUGUCUCUGGAACCUGGAUAUCAGCAGUUUAUGAUGGCCCUAAUCUUCAUCCUCCUAAGUCAAUGGCAUUGUAAUCACCACUUAUUUCCUGCACUUCUCACGUAACGUAAGUCUGUUUGGAGUUUAUACAAGAAUUAAGGGCUUAUGAAAAGUCUUGGGCUGACAGCCCUGGAGACUGAAAUUCUGUUUAUCCAUGGAGCAGGCUGAGCUUAACUGAGACCAGUUCUGCCACUUCAUCUCAACCUGUUGGGUUGAGACUCUCUGUAGGCAGGAAGAUACCUCAGCAGCAAUUUCCACUUCUGGCCUCCCCCAGAAGUGCUAAGGGAGGCUUCUAGCUACUGAGCACUGCUACGUUUCCUGGGCUACAAACAAGGGCAGAAAUAAAUGACCUUCUCAAUUUAAUUUAUGAAUAUAUGUGUUUUACUUGUCAGCAAGAAGAGUGCAUUAUGUUUGUUAUGGAUAUUUAGUCCUGUUCAGACAAAUUUCCUCUGUCUGCAUGAGAAGUUGAAUUUUAAAGAGCCAGGUUUGCAGGCCACUGAAGAGCCCUCAAUGGUAAUGGAUUUCUGUUGCGACCAGCGAAGGGCACACUGGAACAAUGACCUCCGGGUGAGAGGUUCAAUAUCCUCUUACCAAACCUCUGAGGCCUCCAGUCAUAUUGAUGGAUUUCUUUUCACGUUGCUUAGAUAUUAACUGUAUACUAGAGAAGAAAAACCUAAGCCAUAAUCUGUGAGGCAAGAAAAGUAUUUGAAGAAAACCAGAAAAGUAUUAAUAAGUUUUAUUAAUAUUUCUAAAUAAUAAUACUUCCAUAGAGCUAUAAAAGAGCCAAUGCACAGAAUAUUAAAAAUCUUAACAGUUUUAAAGUGAGAAUUUUAAAUAUCCUUGGGGAAACUGACUGGAAGUUCGGUGGUUAUUUAGAGUUUGUACUGUUUUGUAUGAGGAUGUCAGUUCAAACCCAAGUAUAAGCUAGAUGCCUUAGUCCAAAAAUUGUUCUUUCGCUGGUAAUUUGCCCUGUGACAGAAUAAAAUGUGAGAAUUUUUUUAAUGGGAUUAAAAUAAUA